CUUCAAUCGUCUCCCCGACGAUUCCCAUCCACGGCCAUGGUUUUCACUCUCUCCAAAUCUCUGUUACUCUGAAUAAUUGACUCUUCUGUUUACACUUUCAUUUAAGAUGUAUCUUUUCACCUCCUUUUUCUUUUGCUCAUAUAUUAUCUCUUUCUCGAUUCUUCAUAUACCCUAAUCUACAACCUCUUCGAACGAAGAUCAAACUAUGGCCAUGAGAUCUGCUUAAUUGUACCGGAAAGUAUCCAGCCAAGUCAGAACUAAGCUUUGAGCUUCUCCUUAUCGGCGAGCAAGUAUCAUAUUUUUUUAACUUCUUCUUCCAUGAUCCAAAUCAAUCUUUGUUGUAUUCUUCGCACUAAAACCAUAAAGUCCAGCGCAACAAUGGCCCACAACUCGAAAUCUACUGCGUCAAUAGCACAACGAGUUUACAAAAAUUGACCUUCUCCUCGUUGUGCAAGCCGCUUUGGUUUUCAAAUCCACCAAUUCGGAACAUGUGAUCAAGCCAACCUUUCCAGGCGUCCAUAUGAUUAUUAACAGAAAAUGUGAGAGCUGGAAUAUAAACUUAGUAGUCAUGGAAAGCCUCUACCAUCUGAAACUGGGGUAAAAUUGUGUAUUUUUCUAUCUUUAAUUUUUAUUCUUAGAUAUUAAGAUUUGAUUACUGUUAAAAAAAGGGUUUGAUUACUGUUAUGGUGCAGGGAAAGUUAUUACUUUUCGACCAAAUAUUCAAGAAGUGUGUUGAUGUAGUGUUCAUGCGACCUUGAUGGAUCUGGUUCACAAGUCUGUGAAUGAGACGUGUUAUAGACGGCUUGAACAUGUGUAAGGAUUGAACCAAUACCAAACUCUGAGUGCGGCGAUGAAAAAUACAGCCAUAGAGUCAGUGAACAAGAAGUGGGAGGGAAGUAAGAACGCAACACUGCAGCUGGUGGACAUGGAGUGCAGUUACCUCACUGUUGAUUUCUUCAGGAAGCUCUCCACAGCUCUGAGAAUGCCGAGUGUUUUGCUCCAUUGUGGUCGGUGUGAUUCAGUCCAGAGAAUAUUGCUGAUGCUUAGCUAAGCUUCCACAGACCAUAGACAGGAAGAGGAGAAGCGUUUUUUGAGGGAGCUAUUGGGGGCAGAGAGGAAGCGCAAGAGAAGAAGAAGAAGAAAAGGUACAAGAGAGAGAAAAGUGUGAAGCUGGAUAGAGAAAAGCUGCUAGAGUAAGAAUGAGACAAGAAAAGGAAUUUGCUGUUGGAAACGGAACUUGGGAAUGGACCGGCUGCUACACAAAGGUUUCUGAAUCAAUGGACGUGAAUUGCCGUAUUACAUAAUACAUAGAAGAAACAAUUUCAAGAGGCAUGGCCGAAAACGUCUGCUUUCUCUGGUUAGAGUAAGACAACAUUGGAUAUACUUGGCGCGAAGCUUUCAUGGAGAGAAUUGAGACGGACUAUGGUUGUUCUUUCUUAUACUUGGAUCUCUGAAGAAAGAAAAAACAUCCUUUUUAUUUAAUCACAACUACUUAUCAAAUAUGUGAAAGCGGUGGGAAAAUGGGUUCGGUGGUUAUGGCUGAGGGAUACUUUGUUUUGUUAUGGUUAUGGAACAAUGUGGGUUUCUAUUUAACCACCGGACUGACGCUGUGUCUGUUGAGUUAAGGAAAAGAGAGUCUGUUUUUGUAGUAUCUUCUGUUCGAGGUUUACACUCUUGCAGGAAUGGUGAUCUCACCAAACUCGAGAGGUAUCACAAUCGGAGACCUUGGUUCUAUCGUGGUAUUAAUUAUUUUGGGCUUGGUAGUUCUUCCAUGAUGUUGUCCUCGGUCUGUGUGAGGCCAAACUGGUUCCAUCAUCACUACCUUUUUGAAUCAUAAGGCAACUUUCUACUUGAACUUUAAAAGAUGUCAUGGAGAAUUAAAGUAAGCUGAGGCUGCGCCUUCAACACAAAAUGGAGAACUUUACGGUUGUAGCAUAAACUGAAAAGAAGCUGACGAAAACACAUCAACUUGACAAUCGAGCAAGAGAAAGAAAUGAAAGAAUUUUUAUACAGCCCACUAAAUUAUGACAUGUCCAUCUACCUCUUAGAGUCAAUUUCAGUGUGUUUUUCAGUGUCCAGAUAAAUGAAAAAUGUACAUGUUUGGGUCUUAGUGAUGCACUGAUGCCUCUUAUCACUGUUUUUUAUAUUAAUAUUAAUUUUAUUUGUUUGUCCCCAAGACAUUUACAGAUUUGGAAUGAGAGGACCUGGGGCAGUAAUAGCGACAUCAACAACAUGGAGGGGUUACUCAAGCAGGGAUCUCGUUCUUAAAGAUUUUGAGUGGGUCAUACCCAUCCUUUCUGGUUCAUAGAACGGAUCAAAAUAACUCCACAAGUGAUUGCUGAAGCCAAAGACCGUUUUACCAAUAUGGUGCUUCAGAGAUGCAAGAUGACAUACAGAGUUUGUUUUGAAUGAUCCAAAGAAGAUCAGUUAGCCGUUGUGAAGUCGAGAUAACAUUUCUUAUUUAAACUGAGAGAAAGCGAGCGAGCCAGGUACAAACGAUGGAGAGAAUGUGGUGGAGCUUUUGUUUGGUUUUGGUUUAUGCGCAGAGAAACACAAGCAAAGGAAGCAACAUUGUUCUUAUUCAGCACAAUGAAAGGACUUUUCUGCAAGCCAAGCCUUACAAGGACCAUCCUACCAUUGCAAGAUGACCUUAAGGUUGUCCAGGCAAAGUUUGCAAAAACUGAAGUAGUCUGCUAUAUGUUUGGAUCAACGGUUUCCAAGGAAGCUCGAGCUAUGGUUCUACAUGGUGCUGAAUACUGUUUUAUCUCACUGCUUUUGGCUGUGAAGUUCAAGACGAGGGAUUGGAUUCACGUGAUCAUUGGAGUAGAGUCAUGAAAGGGCAUACUGGAGAUAAUAUGUUGGAGUGGCUUUGUUAAAAUACAAUGAUGGUCCUAUCCAGUUUUGAAGCCAAAUCUGCAAGUUUGAAUUCACCUUGCAUCCGCUCCAAGGUAAAUAAAGAACGUAAGUAUUAUUAUAUCUUACUGCAAAGUAAAUUUUCCUGAAUAACAUGCAUGCAUACCCUGGUAAAAUUGUGAAAAACUCAACAGAAGCAAUAGAAAUUGUCCACAGUUAGCUAAUCUGGAUAUAUGAAUUUUUUCACACACUAAUAGAAUAUCUGGUUGCCCUUUCGAGUGAUCUUUAUUACCAACUGGUUGUUGAAGACACUGAUUGUGGGGCAAGUUAACAGCAAAGGCGGAAUAUCUGGUUGUCUUUUCGGGUGAUCAUUGUAACUUUUGUUACCGUUUAUCAGACGGGACCCAGGACCAACUUGAGGAGGGAGACAAAUAUAAUCCACUCGAAGUCCCUGAGUGUCCAAAACUGUGAGAAAAAAUCUAAUCAUAGUUGAUAAAUUUGGUUUCUUCAGAUUAAUAGCAAUGGACAGUAAAUGUAUGAAUUGCACCUGAAUUACACUUGCUUGAGAAGGUCAUUGGGUCAUAAUCAAGUGGCAGACUUAUAAUUGUCGACAUUAUGCUUACUAGGACUGGUCCGCACUACGCGCGGAAUAUACUUUACAUGUGAUAUAUAAUAAUAUAUUAUUGUAUAUUUUCAUUGGAAAUGUGUUUCGAAUGAAUCAAUCUUCGCACGAAAUUAUAUUUAUUUAAUUUAGUGUUUUGUUUUUUU